AGUGAACGCUGGCGGUAGGCCUAACACAUGCAAGUCGAACGGCAGCACAGUAAGAGCUUGCUCUUACGGGUGGCGAGUGGCGGACGGGUGAGGAAUACAUCGGAAUCUACUUUUUCGUGGGGGAUAACGUAGGGAAACUUACGCUAAUACCGCAUACGACCUACGUGUGAAAGCAGGGGAUCUUCGGACCUUGCGCGAUUGAAUGAGCCGAUGUCGGAUUAGCUAGUUGGCGGGGUAAAGGCCCACCAAGGCGACGAUCCGUAGCUGGUAUGAGAGGAUGAUCAGCCACACUGGAACUGAGACACGGUCCAGACUCCUACGGGAGGCAGCAGUGGGGAAUAUUGGACAAUGGGCGCAAGCCUGAUCCAGCCAUACCGCGUGGGUGAAGAAGGCCUUCGGGUUGUAAAGCCCUUUUGUUGGGAAAGAAAAGCAGCAGGUUAAUACCCCGCUGUUCUGACGGUACCCAAAGAAUAAGCACCGGCUAACUUCGUG
rnacentral:rRNA from 1 species